UCCUAGCCUUUUAAUUGGAGGCCUGCAUGAAUGGCUUGACGAGCGCCCUGCUGUCUCUCUUCCCAUGAACUUUUAAAUUAACUUUCGCGUGCAAAGGCGCGAAUGGCUGAGUUAGACGAAAAGACCCUAUGCAUCUUUACUGAGAGAGAAGAAAGUUCUUUAGCUUGGUUUAGCUGGGGCAGCUGAGGAAAAGGCAAAAUUUCCUUAAUAUAAAUCAUACUGGUGGGUUUAGAUCCAGGCUCUUUAGCGGGCUUGACAAGUAGAAAAGUUACGCUAGGGAUAACAGCGUUAUCCUUCUGUGGAGGUCUUAUCUGCAGGAGGGAUUGCGACCUCGAUGUUGAAUUAGGGAUAUACCAGAAAGGCGCAGAAGCUUUUAUUGUGGGUC
rnacentral:rRNA from 1 species